UCCAGGGAGACUCCCCAAUCAGUUAGAUGUGUUGUGAUUUGAGGACACAGAGGAAGAUGUGACACAAAUCCUACCCUUCAGAAGAGGACUCCUACUUGCUAGGCUAUAAAGACAGCACCUCGCGCGCACUUCGCACGUCCUCUUCCUACCUCGUGUGGUGGCUGUUGCUUGGGAGACUUCUAGGUCGGAACUGUUGAUAUAACAAUGUC
rnacentral:lncRNA from 1 species